CUACUUAAACCCUUCCUCUGUUUUCACUUUUCCUUUAAAUCAGCGUUUUAGUUUCCCUCGAUCAUAUCAAUUUUCUCAGAAGGAGGACCUAGAUGAUUCUAACUCCUUUGUGGAAAUCUCCUCAGUUUCAGAACCCAAUGGCUCUUC